CACGCUAUGCCAUUUGC
rnacentral:misc_RNA from 1 species